rnacentral:rRNA from 2 species
CAGCCGCCGCGGUAAAACCAGCACCUCAAGUGGUCAGGAUGAUUAUUGGGCCUAAAGCAUCCGUAGCCUGCUUUGUUAGUUUUCGGUUAAAUCCAUACGCUUAACGUAUGGGCUGCCGGGAAUACUGCAAAGCUAGGGAGUGGGAGAGGUAGACGGUACUCGGUAGGAAGGGGUAAAAUCCUUUGAUCUAUUGAUGACCACCUGUGGCGAAGGCGGUCUACCAGAACACGUCCGACGGUGAGGGAUGAAGGCUGGGGGAGCAAACCGGAUUAGAUACCCGGGUAGUCCCAGCUGUAAACUAUGCAAACUCGGUGAUGCAUUGGCUUGAUGCCAAUGCAGUGCCGCAGGGAAGCCGUUAAGUUUGCCGCCUGGGAAGUACGUACGCAAGUAUGAAACUUAAAGGAAUUGGCGGGGGAGCAC